UGCAGUCGAGCGGUACAGAUCCAGCUUGCUGGAUGCUGACGAGCGGCGGACGGGUGAGUAAUGCAUAGGAAUCUGCCCGAUAGUGGGGGAUAACCUGGGGAAACCCAGGCUAAUACCGCAUACGUCCUACGGGAGAAAGGGGGCUUCGGCUCCCGCUAUCGGAUGAGCCUAUGUCGGAUUAGCUAGUUGGUGAGGUAAAGGCUCACCAAGGCAACGAUCCGUAGCUGGUCUGAGAGGAUGAUCAGCCACAUCGGGACUGAGACACGGCCCGAACUCCUACGGGAGGCAGCAGUGGG
rnacentral:rRNA from 1 species